UUACAGUAGUCCAUGGUGUUUCCAGAUUUCUUUGUCUCAGCGGAAUUGUACUAAAACAAAUUAAUAUAGUGUUAGAAUCAUUAAAAGCAGGAUUCUUUGCUCCAUUCUGAUGCCAGCUAAUUAUCUGGUUGUAGAUUUAGAAGGCAGCCACUGAAUGUUCCUGUUAUGGUAGAAAGCAUCAUAAAACGCAAUAUGGGAAGGGAAUCUAUAGCAAUAUAAUAGGGGUUUUCUUUCUUCAAACCACCACCGUCAUAAGAUUUUGUAUAAUUUGAUGGCUUUAGCAUGUCUUCUGCAGAAUAACAUUGCAGUGAAGAAUAAGGCAGCUAGCAGCUAAUGAGGAAACAUGCCAGCUUUUCAUACACACUGAGGGGGGAAAUGUGCCUGGUCACAUUAUCCUCCUCCUCUAAUGGCUUGAGACUAUUGUUGGAGAACUGAAAUUAGACCAGGGUUGGGUUUUAAAAAAUUCUUUUGCAUAUUCCUUCUUGGAAAGUUAUAUGCUAAUCCCAUUUUAAAUUUUCUCUUGUACUUCACACAUAAACAGAAUAAAUAAUUCUGCCUUUCUCUCUUCUCUCUUUUUAGGAAGAUGCUCUCAGACUGCCAGUCUCCAAAAUAAUCAGAUGCUAUAUUCGGCAUUCAAAAGCACUUCAUGAUCUAUGAGCCUCAAGUCCUAAGCUUUUGCUCAGCUGCUUAGCUUUUGCCAGUUGUUCACUUAAUUUCAAAGUGUAUCUCUUUUUUAAGGACAACUGCAAUGAUGAAAGCUUGAAAUUUCAAAUGGCUGCCGAAAUGUGAGAAAAAGGGUACAACAGCUUCAUCACAGUGCGCGUGCACGCGCACACACACACACACACGUUGGUAACAUGUAUACAGUAUUCAUCUUUGUUCAGCCAAAAAAGGCUCAUUUACAGUGGAAGCUCCUCAUACAGAACUAGGAUAAAUUCUCUAAAUACAACUAUCUGUUGGUCCCAUUUUUUAUACAUUAUACAUGUCCACAGAUAGCCCAGAAUUAAUCAAUCACAUAAAUCAUAUCUACUCCUGUCCUUAACCCAAUUACAAGACUUGCAUAGCUGAGCACAUAUGGUAAUGCAAGUUUCCUGAGCAGAACCUUUAAACAGCAAUUGCAAGAACAGAAAAAUCUAGAACGGAAAGAGGGCUCUGGAGAUUUGAUCCAUUGCAGCCCAUUAUAAUAAUAGGCCCUUAUUUACUUAUAGUUAUAUAUUCUGCCUUUUUUUGUGUCACGGAACCCAAGACACACAUCCAGUGUGAACAGAGACAGGGUAUUUGGAAGAUUGCCAGGGUAACUGGGCAUGAUGUCACAGGAAGAAUUUGGGGCCUUUGGCACCAGGCUUGGAAUAGCUAAAAAAGAGAGAGAGAAUAAUUAUGGCAGGCUGGGAAAAAUGCCUUGGACUCCAGUGGGGAACAAGCUCCUGUUGAGAUGACCAUGCUGUAAUAUGCUACAGCUGGCAGAGAUUGGGGGUGGUGUAAACUUUUGUAACACUACAUUCAUUUAGGGUGCAUGUGCAGAAGUAUUUCAGCUUGCCAGAUGGAAUGAUCCCCUCUCUGCUUCCCCCAUGUGUUGUUUUAGGGGUUCCAGCCCUGAGUGCUCACUGGAAGGACAGAUCGUGAAGCUGAGGCUCCAAUACUUUGGCCACCUCAUGAGAAGAGAAGACUCCCUGGAAAAGACCCUGAUGUUGGGAAAGAUGGAGGGCACAAGGAGAAGGGGAUGGCAGAGGACGAGAUGGUUGGACAGUGUUCUUGAAGCUACCAGCAUGAGUUUGACCAAACUGCGGGAGGCCUGGCGUGCUCUGGUCUAUGGGGUCACGAAGAGUCGGACACAACUAAACGACUAAACAACAAACAACUUAUGGGGGAGUAAGUGCUUAACCCCUCCCCCAAUCACUAAUUUUCCUUGCAAAUACUUUUAACUUGGUCACUUUUAACUGUUUGAUAUCAGUCUGACUGAAUUUUCAGUGGGGGGCUGGGGGACACAGAAAGAGAUAAGCAUACUCCAGCAAAUGGUCCAUCUUCUCUGCAACUGAAAUAUCUUUGCAAAGAUGAGUUUGGGAACAUGUCACUGCUGAGGUAAAGUAUGAUUCCAUCCUUAGGGCCAAACUAGACACAACUCUAAAGUGAUGGCUGUUACCAUAAACAGCAUUUUUAUCUUCCCCCUCCUCCGAGUAAGUUUUGUGAGUCCUGACAUGACAGCAUCCCUGCCUCCACUUGUGGCAGCUAACACUGUGGAACAGGAAGUGGAAAAAAUAAGGUUAUUAUGACACAACCAUGUCAGGUAAGUGCCAUUAGAGAUUCAAGAGGGGGGAGCCAAACUUGUCCUUGUCACUUCUGAACAACUGGUGUAAGAUCUUGAAUGUUCCUGAAAGGAGCCAUGCAUGACAGAUUAUUUGUCAUUGUUUCUGUAUAAAGAGCAAUAUUCUUAUGGGGUGGGGAUUUCUUGCUCAAAUGCAACCCACCUAAGGCAGAAUUGUUUACUUUGCCAUCAGCUUUUCAAGUCUCCCUUGUCAUAUUUGCUAGCUACUGAACGUAUCUGUGUGGCACUUGUCACCUUUCAUCCAACAAUCAUUUCUUUAUAGGUAACGAAGCUCUGUAACAGUCAGCACCAGAUGGUAAAUGGGAGAAGGUGUGCUUUUCAGCAAAGAACGUUGCAUACAUUAAUUAAGACACAAGCUGAAGAUUUUUUAGAUAGUGGUGAGGCUAAUACUCAGACAGAGAGAAGAGAAGAGUGCUCAGCAAAAAGUUGGUGGCAAAAAAGGAAACAAACCUGCAAAGUUCCCCUUAGGAGAACUUGCUGACAUCUCUAAGCUAAGCAUCAUUACAACUAAAGAGCUCAAGGGAGAGGGCUGUGUACUGCCCAACAUCCUUCUCACCAAGAAGACCAGACACACUUGCUCCUGGAAAGCUGGUGGGUAGAUUUGUAGACACAUGGCCCCCUCCCUCAUCAAUGUUCAGAAGCUCUGAAAGCAGUUUUACAGUCUACUACUGAGAUUUUAUUUCCAGGACAAGAAAAUGUAGAGCUAUGCACAGCUGUGACUUCAUUGCUCUGCAGCCUGGCUCCAGAUAAGCAUGGAUUCCUAGAACUGUAGAGUUGGAAGGGUCCCUGAGGUCAAACAGCUCUUACAAGUCAGAAAGAUCUUCCCAAUAUUCUUCCAGAGAAGGAGAAAACAAGCUUGCCCCAUCUUCCCUGUGACAGCCCUUUAGAUAUUUGAAUAUAGCCAUCAUAGGCCUGAAUGUGCCAGUUAUGUCAUUGCACUGUUAUGUCCUAGCACUAACUUAAUACUUAGUUCUAGUAUUUUGAGCUACUAUGUCCACAACAGCAGCUGAUUGGAUUUGGCCAUAAUUAAAGGUUAGCUUGUACCACUCCAAACAUUCAGCAUCUUUCUCUUUAAAAGGUAAGAUUCCCAUGACUGAAAUUCUGUCUUUUGUUGACAUCAUUUUACUAGAGUCAGAAAAGGAGAAGAAAAACCAGAAAAUAGAAAAUUGUUGCCUGCAGAUAUUUCUGCUGCAGAAGGAAUUAAGGGAGAGGGAUAUGAAAGACAACAAUCCCAAAUCCAAUAAAAAGAAGAAGGCUGGUAUAAUUAUAAUAGGAAUAUGUGGUGAUUGUUGUUUCCUUUAAUAUCUGUUUCCUCAAGACUUAUUAUAUUAACAGCACUGCCUGAAGUAUGUUAGGCCUAUGAGUUGAAAUAAAGUCCAGGAAACUAUGUGCAUAAUGGAGGGAUGGGGUCCUCUCCCAACAGCAUGCAAUGGGGUGGGGGGUGAGUGCUGUGAUAAAUCACCCGAAAUUGGACAGAGGCAACUUCUGUGAGUGAACUCUCUUGUGCAAGAUGACUCUGCUUGAUUCUGGAUGAUUUUCUCCACUCCUUUCCAACAGUCCCCUCACACGCAACUAUAUAGGUGGGUCCCCACCCCCCCAUUUCCUGGAGCUUUUUUUAUAAAAAGUGAAACAGGUGUACAACUAAAUGCAAGAAGGUGAAGAGGGGUGGAAAGUUGCCUUCAAUUAGCCUCUUUCCAUUCACAAUUCUUACAAAUCAAGACAGUAU
rnacentral:lncRNA from 1 species